rnacentral:misc_RNA from 1 species
GAUGAAGAACGCAGCGAAAUGCGAUAAGUAGUGUGAAUUGCAGAAUUCAGUGAAUCAUCGAAUCUUUGAACGCACAUUGCGCCCUUUGGUAUUCCUUAGGGCAUGCCUGUUCGAGCGUCAUUUGAACCCUCAAGCUCAGCUUGGUGUUGGGUGUCUGUCCCCGCCUCCGCGGGGACUCGCCUCAAAAUCAUUGGCGGCCGGUACGUUGGCUUCGAGCGCAGCAGAAACGCGAACUCGAGGCCCGGCGGAUCGGCGACCAGAAGUCUCUUCUUCACAGUUUGACCUCGGAUCAGGUAGGGAUACCCGCUGAACUUAAGCAUAUCAAAAGCGGAGGA